AGAGUUUGAUCCUGGCUCAGGACGAACGCUGGCGGCGUGCUUAACACAUGCAAGUCGAGCGGUUCUUAAGCUGUAGUUUACUAUAGCUUAAGAAUAGCGGCGAACGGGUGAGUAACACGUGGGCAACCUGUCCGAAAGAUCGGGAUAACAGUCCGAAAGGGCUGCUAAUACCGAAUAUGCUUACCGGGUCGCAUGACCCGGUAAGGAAAGGUAGGCAACUUCUGCUUUCGGGUGGGCCCGCGUCCCAUUAGCUAGUUGGUAGGGUAACGGCCUACCAAGGCAACGAUGGGUAGCUGGUCUGAGAGGAUGGUCAGCCACACUGGGACUGAGACACGGCCCAGACUCCUACGGGAGGCAGCAGUGGGGAAUCUUGCGCAAUGGGCGAAAGCCUGACGCAGCGACGCCGCGUGAGCGAUGAAGGCCUUCGGGUUGUAAAGCUCUGUCAGAGGGGACGAUAAUGACGGUACCCUCAGAGGAAGCCCCGGCUAACUACGUGCCAGCAGCCGCGGUAAU
rnacentral:rRNA from 1 species